CUGCGGGGCAACCGGAGCCUCCGCAGCCAUGCGCACGAUCUGCCCCACCGCUGGCUCCGCUGGCUCCAGACAGACUUCGGGACCCUGCUGAAGCCAAGAGCUGAUGUGGCGAGGUAAGGGGCACAAUGCUAAUCACACCCCAACAGUCCCAAAGGUCCACUCGAGACCAGAGCAGAGAUGACCCACUUUCUCACCCAGGGGAAAGAGCCCGCUGGGGCAAUGAGCUGGACACGUUGGCGCCUGGUUUCGCAGCUCAGCUUUAGAGUUGGGGAGCCCCGCGUGAGCAUCCUUAGACUGUACCGACAGUACACAGUGGCCAAGGACAGGAUCCCUGGACCCCAUUCUCACAGCCAGUGGCUGCUCGUCUCCAGCCUCGCGCUGGCCUGGCAGACAGGAACUGGGACAAAUGGAGCAAGCAGAGGGGGGACGCUGGUGAUCGCAGAGGCCGGGGGCGUCCCACGCUGCCAGGGGCGGAGAGGCACACUCCCAAGUGACAUGCGCAGCUGCCUCUCCCGAUGGGCAAGGGCGUCUCACUGGGGAGACGGAAGCCGGGCUGUCCGAGAGCUCUAACCACGAGCCUCCCACUACCGCAAGCGAUAGUCCAUGACCUCUGGGCACCGCCCGAGCCAUGACUCGGUGCUACCAGGUGUGCUGGGGGAGGGGAAGGGACACGGCCAAGCCCAGUGCUUUCCCUUCUGCCCCUGCCACGCUCGGCCUCUGGCCACCGUUAUUCAGCGCGGCGCGAAGCCUGUGGGCCGCUGGAGGCAGCACUUACGGCGACAAUGCGUCCUAGAGCCCAGCGCCCAGCACUCACGCUCCCGCGGCGACCGACGGCACCCGGUGCAAGUUCUGAGCCCGAGGGGCGGAGCCAAAGGGGCAGGGAGCUCAGCGCGCACGGCCGCUCAGCCAAUAGUGACACCAGGAUACGACCCAGGGCGGGGAGGGGCCAGCGCUCCGCCCGCGCGCACCAAUCAGCGCGCAACUCCUCCUGCGCGCUCGGGAACCAAGGGAGGAACCGCUUUCGCUGUGAGAACUGAUGAAGGGACUGUGGAGUCCAGCGCUGCUGCGACGCAAAAACACAACUCUCACCUCAAAGGGGAUCAGAGAUGGCUUAUCCUAGAGCCAAAUAGGAGCGACCCUAGCCCGGGAACACAAAUACAGGUUAUUCCAUGUCCCAACAUGGUAACAGUUUGAUAAAAAUUGUGAAUUAUUUUGUGCUUUUUUUUUUUUUUUUUAGUUAUUUUAUGCGUGUUUGCCCGCGUGUGUAUUUGUGCACCACCUAUGUGUCUGGUGUCCUCAGAGGCCAAAAGAGGGGUCAAAUCUCCUGGGAUUGGAGUUGCAAACAGCUAUGAACCAUCCUGUACAUGAUUGGACAACCCUUGCAAAGGAACGGUGUAGCUGUCUCUCCAGCCUCUUAAUGAAGAACAAAGAAAAACGUAAAAACAAGGCACUUUUCAAUUGUAUUGGUGAGGAUAUCAGGUAAACAGGCUACAGCAAAGGAGAAAAAGAUCUCAGCUAUAGGCCCCAGAUGCUAGCCUGAGAGCAUUCUUAGCCCUUUGGUUGAUCGGAAACUAGAGAUCUGUUCUUGCACUCUGACUUACUGGAUAGUUACAAAGAUGUUAAGCCAAGUAGAGGGCAGAGCAAUCAGUAGUUGUUAAAGGACAUAAAGAUGCCACAAAAUGCCAGUCUGGCUCUGGACCUGCAACAUUUUAACCCUUUUGUGUCACUAAAUUUCUAGUCAGUAAAUCAGACUAGCAAAAGAUGCUGCUGUUCUUUUGAGUAAUUUGUAUUCACGGCUGCCAGACUAGCCACCAGGACCACAGCUUCUAAAAUGUAGCCACUUCACAGAUCUCCUGUUGUGUAACAGUUUCCAAAAACACUGCUUCCUGUAGGAAGCUCCUUAAGCAAUAAGCACUUAAAAUAGCUUUGGGAACCUCCUUAAAGAGGAAGGUAAACAAACUCAAAUUAGCUUCAGGAAGUCCCUGAAACUGACCAGGUUCACUAGGCCCCUCCCUACCAGGCUAAGCAAUAAACUAGUCAUAACCCAACACCUCCCAUUAGGGAUAUAAUGGCCUGGGCUCUUAGAGUCCUUUCUGCUUCUCCAUCCUUGAGAACUCUGUGAAAGGAGACAAGAUACAUUGCUUAAUGAUGACUCAUUGCCUAACGAAGCAGAGGACACUCAUAUGACAAUAAACAAUGGGCACAAGGACCACUCAGCUGGCUACAUUUUAGGCAGGCCCUCUGCUGUUUCUGAAGUGACCUGAUUCUAGAACAGGUACUAUUUUCCCUAGUGAGUUUGUCCUGUUGAGGUUCCUGACAGACCCCUUUGAAUUGACUUUUUUUAAAAAAGUGUAUGUGUGUCCAUGUCCGUGUGUGUGUGGUGUUCAUCUGUGAGCACAGGCACAUACACAUGUAAGUCGAAAUCAGAGAUCAACUUCAGCUGUGGUCCUCACCUCACCUCACCAGAACAACCUCUGGCUCACUGCUACAUGCACUGGACUUUGUCAGAAAGCCUCCUGGUUCACAGUCUUCUGAGGCUUAGGAUCCCAGGGCCUGUGUCUAUUAAUAACUUUCCAGACAGUUCAGCUUGUCACACCUCUCAGAGCCAAACAGCUCAGGUCUCAUGCCUCUCAGCAGCCGAUAGAGGGCUGCUGUUUCAGUCCUUGCUUUUCCAAGUUGUUGAGCAUAAAGGAUGAAAGGACUCUGGCCAGCUGGAGUGUGGCAAGCAUGGCUCUGGCGGGCUUUGCCCUUCUCUUCCAUUCUCUCUGUGUUAAAAUAAUUUUUAACUGUUUUUCCUUUCCCAGGCCCAUCUCCCAAAGUGAUGACUCUGAGACUAUUUAUUAUUAAAUGUGUUGGCUAUUC
rnacentral:lncRNA from 1 species